GGGACUUCCUGGGGUCCACUGCAAAAUUGCAGUAUUGCGAAGGGUCUUAAUUUUCUCAGCUCUGAUUUCUUUUUCAGAUGUGUCCUGGAUACCUGGACUCCACAGUUUCCCUGCCCUGAUAAGGCAUCCAAAGGAACCAGAACUCUUUAUCGUCAGGUCCCCAGUACAUACUAUUCGCCAGAUAACUUCUCCCAUCCCAACCAUCUCUGGUGGUUUCCUACCCUGCCAGAAGUCAAUCAAUCUGUCAUUGAACAUGGAGCUGUGAAAGGAAGAUGCGAUACUACACUGCAUGCAAAAAAAAUAUAUCCUCUGAUGUUGAGCAUGGCAUAUCCCAUGUCUGCAAGUAAGUCUGCAUACUUGAAGAUUUGCUACUUCUGUGACUCCUGCAAGAAACAGGAAAGAAUAAGACUUCAGAUUAUGCCUCUGAUGGGAAAGGCUGCAGCACUCCGCAGAAGGGUUGAUCCAUCACACCAAGUACCGCUGUCUGCCCCUCAAGUAUUAGGCUCCUUGGGCAGAGCGUGA
rnacentral:lncRNA from 1 species